GUCUACGGCCAUGCCACCCUGAACAAGCCCGAUCCCGUCUGAUUUCGGAAGCUAAGCAGGGUUGGGCCUGGUUAGUACUUGGAUGGGAGACCACCUAACCUAGGAAGACCAGGUGCUGUAGGCG
rnacentral:rRNA from 1 species